CGUGGCGAAGGACGCCCUGGGUAACGACGUCCUCGCCUCCGAGUGGCUGAAGACCCACGGCCCCAACGACAGAACCCUCACGCAGGGCUUGAAGGUGCGCACCCAAACCCCCUAAUUUCUCCUCCUCCUCUGUUCUAAAUUUGCUAUCAAAUUUAUCUGAUAAUUCCGAUCUCUUCCGAGACAAUAAUUCGACCCAUUUUGACUUCUGACUUCCCCAAAAGUAAGCUAUAUCUAGAAGUCAACGGCACCACCGCUUCGAUGAUCUUCAUGGGGAUUUAUUGGAAAGCUCUCAUUUUUGGGCUGGAAUCCUAAUCCCUGCCCCGAAUUGGGUACUGCGUUGCCACAAUCAUAAAAUUCCGAGUUCUUCCGAGACAAUGAUUCGCCCAUUUUGACUUCUGACUAACCCAGAAGUAAGCUAGAUUGGGGGAAGUCAACCGCACCACAGCUUCCAUAAUCUUCACGGGAAUUCAUCAGAAAGCUCCCAUUUUUGGGUUGGAAUCCUAAUUCCUGCACCGAAUCGGGUACUGGGUUGCCACAAUCAGAGAAUUCUGUGUUCUUCCGAGACAAUCAUUCGCCCAUUUUCACUUCUGACUAACCCAGAAGUAAGCAAGAUUGGGGGAAGUCAACCGCACCACAGCUUCCAUAAUCUUCAAGGGAAUUCAUCAGAAAGCUCCCAUUUUUGGGCUGGAAUCCUAAUCCCUACCCCGAAACGGGUACUGGGCUGUCACGAUUUCUCCUUUUUUUUGGUGGGUAGGGGGAUAAUUUUCUGUCAAAAUCCUCAAUAUUAAUAUUGCUAUUAUUCGUCAGCGCCAUAUUGUGCCUCUGUGCUCAUAUCAUCAUCAUCAGACUAUUAUUAUUAUUAUUAUUAUUAUCAUCAUCAUCAUCAUCAAUAUUUUUUUCUUGAAUGAAAAAUGUGCUGUGGAUGGGGUUUUUCAGGGUGAUCCGACCUACCUGGUGGUGGAGAACGACAGGACGCUUGCUACUUAUGGAAUAAAUGCGGUGUGCACUCACCUUGGGUGCGUGGUGCCGUGGAACAAGGCGGAGAACAAGUUCAUCUGCCCUUGCCACGGCUCCCAGUACAACAACCAGGGCCGCGUCGUCAGGGGUCCCGCCCCUCUGGUCAGCCCCGCUCCCUCCCGCCUCCCCUUGACUUUCGAUCUUUUCCGGCCGUUUCUCUCUCUAGAUUCCUGUUUUGUUUCCGUCUUUCUCCCGGCGCGCUGCCGUUCGCCGUUUCUUUCUCCAAGUUCGUGCUCUAUUCUCCCCUUCUCGUUCCUGCUCUUGGUCUCUCGUCCUUGGAUUCUUCGAUCUUAUGCGCUGUUUCUCUCUCUAGGCUCCUGCUCCGUUUCGCCUCUCUGUCUCUUGCUUGUUUUGGCUCCGACCCAGAGUGGCCGAUCCUGUGCGCCGUCUCUCUCUCUCUAAGUUCCUGCGUUAUCUCUCUUCCCGGUCCUCGUUUUACGUCGUCGUUUCUCUGCCUCGCUGCGAACAUGCCACCGUCUCUCUCUCUCUCUCUCUCUCUCUCNN
rnacentral:lncRNA from 1 species